UACGUAGGCGGAAUAAUAAGUCAGUGAUGAAAUCCUGCGGCUCAACCGUAGAACUGCCAUUGAAACUGUUAUUCUUGAAUGUAGUUGAGGUAGGCGGAAUGUGUAAUGUAGCGGUGAAAUGCUUAGAUAUUACACAGAACACCGAUUGCGAAGGCAGCUUACUAAACUAUGAUUGACGCUGAUGUACGAAAGCGUGGGGAGCGAACAGGAUUAGAUACCCUGGUAGUCC
rnacentral:rRNA from 1 species